rnacentral:rRNA from 1 species
UAGGGAAUCUUCCGCAAUGGGCGAAAGCCUGACGGAGCAACGCCGCGUGAGUGAUGAAGGUCUUCGGAUCGUAAAACUCUGUUAUUAGGGAAGAACAAAUGCGUAAGUAACUAUGCACGUCUUUACGGUACCUAAUCAGAAAGCCACGGCUAACUACGUGCCAGCAGCCGCGGUAAUACGUAGGUGGCAAGCGUUAUCCGGAAUUAUUGGGCGUAAAGCGCGCGUAGGCGGUUUUUUAAGUCUGAUGUGAAAGCCCACGGCUCAACCGUGGAGGGUCAUUGGAAACUGGAAAACUUGAGUGCAGAAGAGGAAAGUGGAAUUCCAUGUGUAGAGGUGAAAUGCGCAGAGAUAUGGAGGAACACCAGUGGCGAAGGCGACUUUCUGGUCUGUAACUGACGCUGAUGUGCGAAGGCGUGGGGAUCAAACAGG